rnacentral:rRNA from 1 species
UACAGAGGUCUCGAGCGUUAGUCGGAAUCACUGGGCGUAAAGCGCACGUAGGCGGAUUGCUAAGUCAGGGGUGAAAUCCUGGAGCUCAACUCCAGAACUGCCUUUGAUACUGGCGACCUUGAGUCCGGGAGAGGUGAGUGGAACUGCGAGUGUAGAGGUGAAAUUCGUAGAUAUUCGCAAGAACACCAGUGGCGAAGGCGGCUCACUGGCCCGGUACUGACGCUGAGGUGCGAAAGCGUGGGGAGCAAACAGG